rnacentral:misc_RNA from 1 species
GAUGAAGAACGUAGCGAAAUGCGAUAAGUAAUGUGAAUUGCAGAAUUCAGUGAAUCAUCGAAUCUUUGAACGCACAUUGCGCCCCUUGGUAUUCCAUGGGGCAUGCCUGUUCGAGCGUCAUUUGUACCUUCAAGCUCUGCUUGGUGUUGGGUGUUUGUCUCGCCUCUGCGUGUAGACUCGCCUCAAAACAAUUGGCAGCCGGCGUAUUGAUUUCGGAGCGCAGUACAUCUCGCGCUUUGCACUCAUAACGACGACGUCCAAAAGUACAUUUUUACACUCUUGACCUCGGAUCAGGUAGGGAUACCCGCUGAACUUAAGCAUAUCAAUAAACGGAGGA